rnacentral:sRNA from 1 species
UCUGGAGAAACAGCUACGGCCAUCCCAGCCCUGGCCAAGGGGAAAAUGCCGGAAGACUCCAGGGUGGGAGGAAGCGCGUCCCAAGGCCCAGGAUCUGCGAGGCGACUCGGGGAAAACGCAGGACCUGCUGAAGCUCACACCCGUGGACCACCCAGACUGCCUGCCGCUACAGGAUGCCCUCCGCAUCUCCCAGGACUUCUUUCUGGCAUCAGUGUGGACAUUGACCCCGCUGGACUGCAGUCACAGUGGACUCCCAAGGGCAGGAUCCACCUCUGAUGUUCAGUGAAGACUACCAGAAAAGUCUGCUAGAGCAGUACCAUCUGGGUCUGGAUCAAAAACGCAGAAAAUACGUGGUUGGAGAGCUCAUCUGGAAUUUUGCCGAUUUCAUGACUAACCAGUGUCAGCCCAAGACUACCCCGUCGGUCAUUCUGUUCCUGCCGUCCUGUGAGGAGCCCCAAGCCAACAAGGCCACACUGGUGUGUCUCAUGAAUAACUUUAUCCGGGAAUCUUCAUGGUGACCUGGAAGGCAGAUGGUACCCCCAUCACCCAGAGCGUGGAGAAGACCACGCCCUCCAAACAGAGCAACAGCAAGUACGUGGCCAGCAGCUACCUGAGCCUGACGCCCGAGCAGUGGAGGUCCCGCAGAAGCUACAGCUGCCAGGUUAUGCAUGAAGGGAGCACCGUGGAGAAGUCAGUGGCCCCUGCAGAAUGUUCAUAGGUUCCCAGCCCCCACCCCACCCACAGGGGCCUGGAGCUGCAGGAUCCCAGGGGAGGGGUCUCUCUCUGCAUCCCAAGCCAUUCAGCCCUUCUCCCUGUACCUAGUAAACCCUCAAUAAAUAUCUUUGUCAGCCAGAAA